CGCAACCCUUGCCAUUAGUUGCUACGAAAGGGCACUCUAAUGGGACUGCCGGUGACAAACCGGAGGAAGGUGGGGAUGACGUCAAGUCCUCAUGGCCCUUAUAGGUGGGGCUACACACGUCAUACAAUGGCUGGUACAAAGGGUUGCCAACCCGCGAGGGGGAGCUAAUCCCAUAAAGCCAGUCGUAGUCCGGAUCGCAGUCUGCAACUCGACUGCGUGAAGUCGGAAUCGCUAGUAAUCGUGGAUCAGAAUGUCACGGUGAAUACGUUCCCGGGUCUUGUACACACCGCCCGUCACACCAUGGGAGCGGGUCUCGCCAGAAGUAGGUAGCCUAACCGCAAGGAGGGCGCUUACCACGGCGGGGUUCGUGACUGGGGUGAAGUCGUAACAAGGUAGCCGUAUCGGAAGG
rnacentral:rRNA from 2 species